GAUGAACGCUAGCUACAGGCUUAACACAUGCAAGUCGAGGGGUAGCACGGAGGAAGCUUGCUUCCUUGGGUGACGACCGGCGCACGGGUGAGUAACGCGUAUCCGACCUACCCAUUACUCGGGCACAGCCGCUCGAAAGAGCGAUUGAUUCCCGAUAUGUCAUUAGAGUAGAUUUAAUGAUGAAAGAUUUAUCGCUAAUGGAUGGGAGUGCGUAGGAUUAGGUAGUAGGCGGGGUAACGGCCAACCUAGCCGACGAUCUUGAGGGGUUCUGAGAGGAAGGUCCCCCACACUGGUACUGAGACACGGACCAGACUCCUACGGGAGGCAGCAGUGAGGAAUAUUGGUCAAUGGGCGGAAGCCUGAACCAGCCAAGUAGCGUGAAGGAUUACAGCCCUACGGGUUUUAAACUUCUUUUAUAUAAGAGUAAUGUGCACUACGUGUAGUGUAUUGCAAGUAUUAUAUGAAUAAGCAUCGGCUAACUCCGUGCCAGCAGCUGCAGUAAAAC
rnacentral:rRNA from 1 species